rnacentral:rRNA from 1 species
AUUGAACGCUGGCGGCAGGCCUAACACAUGCAAGUCGAGCGGAUGAAGGGAGCUUGCUCCUGGAUUCAGCGGCGGACGGGUGAGUAAUGCCUAGGAAUCUGCCUGGUAGUGGGGGAUAACGUCCGGAAACGGGCGCUAAUACCGCAUACGUCCUGAGGGAGAAAGUGGGGGAUCUUCGGACCUCACGCUAUCAGAUGAGCCUAGGUCGGAUUAGCUAGUUGGUGGGGUAAAGGCCUACCAAGGCGACGAUCCGUAACUGGUCUGAGAGGAUGAUCAGUCACACUGGAACUGAGACACGGUCCAGACUCCUACGGGAGGCAGCAGUGGGGAAUAUUGGACAAUGGGCGAAAGCCUGAUCCAGCCAUGCCGCGUGUGUGAAGAAGGUCUUCGGAUUGUAAAGCACCUUAAGUUGGGAGGAAGGGCAGUAAGUUAAUACCUGGCUGUUUUGACGUUACCAACAGAAUAAGCACCGGCUAACUUCGU